UUAGCGAAAAACCUCAAUGACUUAAUUGAUAAUGCACGAUAGAAUAUGAUGAUAUGUUUUCCUAAUUAUAAAAUCAUGUAAUAAAGUAAGGUUCUUAAAACUAAUCAUAAUUGUUAAAAUUUGGGUCAAACUACGACGAAUUGAUGGCUAACGCGAGGUAGAAUAUGAGAUUGAACGACGAAUUAUAAAAAUUAUUAGGAGAGUAGAGAUGUUGAAGGGUAGAAUACUUAGUAAAUGAACGCCGAAAAAAUAAAUAACAAUAGCUUAAAUUUGGGUAAAAUUACGAAAAAUACGACGAAACAAUUGAUAAAGCAAGAUAGAAAUGCUGGUAUAUUAUAAAGGUGAUGCUGAAGGGAAGAAUACUUAGUAAAUGAACGUCAAAAAAAUAAGUCACAAUAGUUUAAAUUUGGGUAAAAUUACGAAAACUACGACGAAACAGUUAAUAAAGCAAGGUAGAAAUGCGGGUAUAAUAUAAAAGUGAUGUUGAAGGGUAGAACACUGAGUAAAUGAACGUCGAAAAAAUAAGUCACAAUUAGCUUAAAUUUGGGCAAAAUUACGAAAACUACGACGAAACAGUUAAUAAAGCAAGGUAGAAAUGCGGGUAUAAUAUAAAAGUGAUGUUGAAGGGUAGAACACUGAGUAAAUGAACGUCGAAAAAAUAAGUCACAAUAACUUAAAUUUGGGUAUAAUUACGAAAACUACGACGAAAUAGUUGAUAAUGCAAGGUAGAAAUGCGGGUAAAUUAUAAAAGUGAUGUUGAAGGGUAGAAUGUUUAGUAAAUGAUCGUCGAAAAAAUAAAUCACAAUAGCUUUAAUUUGGGUAAAAUUACGAAAACUACGACGAAACAGUUGAUAAAGCUAAGUAGAAAUGCGGGUAUAUUAUGAGAGUGAUGUUGAUGGGUAAAAUACUUAGUAAAUGAACGCCGAAAAAAUAAAUCACAAUAGCUUAAAUUUGGGUAAAAUUACGAAAACUUCGACGAAACUGUUGAUAAUGAAAGGUAGAAAUGCGGGUAAAUUAUAAAAGUGAUGUUGAAGGGUAGAAUAAUACUUAGUAAAUGAACGCCGAAAAAAUA